rnacentral:rRNA from 1 species
GUGGGGAAUAUUGCACAAUGGGCGCAAGCCUGAUGCAGCGACGCCGCGUGCGGGAUGGAGGCCUUCGGGUUGUAAACCGCUUUUGUUCAAGGGCAAGGCAGGCCUUUUCGGGUUUGUUGAGUGGAUUGUUCGAAUAAGCACCGGCUAACUACGUGCCAGCAGCCGCGGUAAUACGUAGGGUGCAAGCGUUAUCCGGAUUUAUUGGGCGUAAAGGGCUCGUAGGCGGUUCGUCGCGUCCGGUGUGAAAGUCCAUCGCUUAACGGUGGAUCCGCGCCGGGUACGGGCGGGCUUGAGUGCGGUAGGGGAGACUGGAAUUCCCGGUGUAACGGUGGAAUGUGUAGAUAUCGGGAAGAACACCAAUGGCGAAGGCAGGUCUCUGGGCCGUUACUGACGCUGAGGAGCGAAAGCGUGGGGAGCGAACAGGAUUAGAUACCCUUGUAGUCC